AGAAGAGGAGGCUCAAGGGUGACCUUAUCGCUCUCUACAACUCCUGAAGGGAGGUUGUGGCGAGGUGGGGGUUGGCCUCUUCUCCCAGGUAACAGUGAUAGGAUGAGAGGGAAUUACUUCAAGUUGCACCAGAGGAGGUUUGGGUUGGACAUUAGGAAAAAUUUCUUCUCAGAAAAAGUGGUGAGGCGGUGGCACAGGCUGCCCAGGGAAGAGGUGGAGUCAGUGUCUCUGGAGGUGAUCAGGAAAUAUGUGGAUGUGGCAUGGAGGAACAAGAUUAGUGGGCAUGCUGUGAUGGGUUGGUGAUUGGACUAGAUGAUCUUAGAGGUGUUUUCCAACCUUAAUGCUUCUACGAUUCUUUUCCCAGACCUUAAACCGGAGAAGUCUGUGGUAUUAAUAGGAAAAGCAGCCCCCCUAAUCUCCAGCAGCGUGUUAUACCUCCUUAACAUUUGUAGGCCCUCGCGCUCGCACUGUGCUGCUGCUGCAAUCGCUGGGAGACAAUUGGAGGUUAUUUUUAGACUGCCUGCUCUGCAGCGCUGACAUUUGUAGGUUAGGCGUACCAGUUGCUGGCUGCUGCCUCUAUCUUCCCUAAAUAUUUCCCUUCCAACAGCUGGACGUCCCCCUCCUCCUUCCCCAGUCUUUCCUCGUAAGUAUCAAAGUGUAAAUCCAUGUUGUGUCUGUCAAUGUUUUCGGUCGAGCGGAGCUAGAAGUGUCAUUUAAAAGGCACAGUCCGCUCGUGUCCUUCUACGCAGCAGGAAAAUCCCAGAGCAGCACACAUCAGAUCGGUGCCUAAGGGAGCUCAGUGUGCUCUGAGUUCCCUUGGGGUGUGCAGGAAACCUAGUGCGGGCCUUACUGCUGCCUUCACCCUACCAUGGGUAGCACCCACGGGGAGGGUGCAGAGCCCUGGGGUGGGUUCGGGUGCUGCCCUGAAAAGACAGAAGGUUUUUGGGGUAUGACAGACUGUGUGCUGCCAUUUGUCCCUGUGCCUAAUCCUCAGUGCUUGGCAGAGCUGCGACCGAGAGUGCUUAGCCCUCAUCUCCCUGAACCUGCUGGGGUUUGGGAGAGCACAACGACCUGCUAAGCCAGGGCAGGAGAGAUGGCUGCUAAAAUCAGAGUUCUACAGCAGAUUAGAUUAUGAAACUGCCAUUAACCUACUCUGUGUUGUAAUCUCAAAUCCUUCUAAAAUACUUGGCAUGCAGCAGUACAAACAUUAUUUUCCAUUUUCAAUUAAGGCCAUGCAGAAAUCCUUUUUUCCAGUCAACCUCUUUCUUUUCCCAGUGCUUUUGGGGGAGUAGUUUUUAAAUGAAUA
rnacentral:lncRNA from 1 species